AAGUCCACUGAACCUUAUCAUUUAGAGGAAGGAGAAGUCGUAACAAGGUUUCCGUAGGUGAACCUGCGGAAGGAUCAUUGUCGAAACCUGUUGACGUAGCACGACCCGCGAACGAGUUCCCACUCAAUCAUCCGGCGCACCGGGGGCAUGUUCCCUGGGGCUCGAACAGCCGGGGGCACCGCCCCCCAGUGCCCCAACGAAACACCAGCGCGGGAUGUGCCAAGGAACACAAACCAGGAUGGCGCCGCCGCAGCCCCGUAGAGACGGGGGGUGGGCGUCCGAUUUCCAACCAUUAAGUCUAAAUGACUCUCGGCGAGGGAUAUCUUGGCUCUCGUAUCGAUGAAGAAUGCAGCGAAAUGCGAUACGUGGUGUGAAUUGCAGAAUCCCGCGAACCAUCAAGUUUUUGGACGCAAGUUGCACCCAAAGCCUUAUGGCCGAGGGCACGUCUACCUGGGUGUCACGCAACGUCGCCCCUCCUCCCACCCCCGCCCGACGGACAGGGGCAAGGGAAGGGAUGGAGAUUGGCCUCCCGUGCGCUCCCGCUCAUGGCAGGCCUAAAAAUGGAUCCCCUGAUGGCGGCUGCCACAGCGAGCGGUGGUUGUCACAGGCCCUCGAAUCGAGCCGUGCGCACGCUCCCACCCUGGUGGGACCCGGAAGGACCCCUCGGCACCUCUGGCGCAAUCGCUACGCGACCCCAGGUCAGGCAGGACCACCCACUGAGUUUAAGCAUAUCAAUAAGCGGAGGAAAAGAAACUUACCA
rnacentral:rRNA from 1 species